rfam:Ictidomys tridecemlineatus contig110440, whole genome shotgun sequence.
GGAAAUGUAGCUCAAUGGUAGAGCACUUGCCUAGUAUGCAGGAGACCCUGGGUUCUAUUCCCAACAAUUCCA